rnacentral:rRNA from 1 species
AACGCUGGCGGCGUGCCUAAUACAUGCAAGUCGAACGGUCUUUCUAUGGAAGCUUGCUUCCACUGGGAAGAUAGUGGCGGACGGGUGAGUAACACGUGGGUAACCUGCCCAUAAGAGGGGGGAUAACAUCCGGAAACGGGUGCUAAUACCGCAUAGUUUUCUUGAUCGCAUGAUUGAGAAAGGAAAGACGGCCUUUGUGCUGUCGCUUAUGGAUGGACCCGCGGCGUAUUAGUUAGUUGGUGAGGUAACGGCUCACCAAGACGAUGAUACGUAGCCGACCUGAGAGGGUGAUCGGCCACAUUGGGACUGAGACACGGCCCAAACUCCUACGGGAGGCAGCAGUAGGGAAUCUUCCGCAAUGGACGAAAGUCUGACGGAGCAACGCCGCGUGAGUGAAGAAAGGUUUUCGGAUCGUAAAACUCUGUUGUCAGAGAAGAACAAGUCGGAGAGUAACUGCUCCGGCCUUGACGGUAUCUGACCAGAAAGCCACGGCUAACUACGUGCCAGCCGCUGC